rnacentral:rRNA from 1 species
GACGAACGCUGGCGGCGUGCCUAAUACAUGCAAGUAGAACGCUGAAGACUUUAGCUUGCUAAAGUUGGAAGAGUUGCGAACGGGUGAGUAACGCGUAGGUAACCUGCCUACUAGCGGGGGAUAACUAUUGGAAACGAUAGCUAAUACCGCAUAACAGCAUUUAACCCAUGUUAGAUGCUUGAAAGGAGCAAUUGCUUCACUAGUAGAUGGACCUGCGUUGUAUUAGCUAGUUGGUGAGGUAACGGCCCACCAAGGCGACGAUCGGUAGCCGGACUGAGAGGUUGAACGGCCACAUUGGGACUGAGACACGGCCCAG